rnacentral:lncRNA from 1 species
CCGUGUCCAACCUUUAAAACAGAUCAUUGGUCGUUCGAUCAUCACACAAUCCGACGGUUGAACUUAUAGUAAAGCAUAAAGGUUAUCAAAACCUUUGGCGGGCUAGACACUUCUUCGUUCCCCCCAAAUCACACACCAGUUGCCUCCCCAGAUCCUCGAUUGACGCCGCCUCCUCUCCGCCAGUCGCCGGACCACCUCCUCAGCAACGCCGAACCACUAGAUAUUUAUGUGCGGGUGGUGGUUGUGCCUGGAUCUUUAUUUGCGGCGCCCUUUUCAUACUAAUGCGUCUUCUUGCCUUGAUAGUUUACUGGAGGCAAAAGCCAAGCAAGGGAUUCAGAUUUAUAUCCUGAUGUACAAAGAGCUUGCUCUUGCUCUGAAAAUUAAUAGUUUUUAUAGUAAGAAAAAGCUUGCUGCACUUCACGAGAACAUAAGAGUUCUACGUCAUCCGGAUCAUUUCUCUAGUGGUGUCUAUCUAUGGUCUCAUCAUGAGAAACUGGUCAGCCCAGCAGGCGGCCUCGCGUUCCAUUUUCUUUUAAAAAAUCAAAAUAUGAACCUCUAGUUUCCGACAUGCCAAUGAGAGGGUUAGUUGAUUAGCAAGGGAGCUCGAAUGUAACAACCGUGCACCCUACCAUGAAGUCGUGUUGGUCCUCGUGUCGCAUGUCGUUGCCAGGUCAACUUUAUUAGAUCCCUAACAUAUAUACAUUAAUAUUUGUAUACCAUUGAUAUGUUUUAAAAUAUUAAAACAAUCCUGACCCAGAAGCUAUUAAAUGGGUCACUUUAACCCUUUUAAAAACUUUGAAAGAUGUUUUUAAUGGUUAGGAAAUGCUAUAUCUGUUGUUUACAUUCGAGUUGGGAGGUAAUAUGGACAUUUCGUGCUGUUUUUCAGAUAAAGUUGGACAGUGUGUUACUUUAGGGUUUGAAUUUGUUUAGAAGAUGAAGCAUUAGUGAUGUACAUAGGUCAGUCAAUAUGUGGAGUUAGGUUCCUUCCCUUUCUUUUAUGCUGAAAAUGACAAAGAACAGGGUAUUCAUAGUAAAAACUAGUAAUUUGUAACACCCAGCACUUGUAUCAACAUACAUUGUCAGCUUUGCAGACUGGCAACCAAUCUUUGUUUUUGGGCGCUCAAAUGGAAGCCUGUCAACUUAAGGUCCUGCUGAUUGCUAAGUUUGUAAUAGGUACACUCAACUUAAGAACACGUGCUAAUGAAGUUAUUGUAUGUUUAGCAUGAACCAGGAAGCACUUCUUUGCUUGUGUAGUAUAAUGCAUGAGCUUCUUUUGAACAAGGUCAAGACCAUAGUUAUUAAAGGUACUAGGCGCACUCAAGGCGCAUAGGCCUUGCCUGGCGCCUAGGCGCAAAGCGCAAAAAAAGCGAGGGCUUGAGAAAAAUAAAGCGCAUAAUGAAAAAAAUUAAAAAUAUAAUAUGUAUUAGAAAAAGAAUGCUAUUCUUCAAAUAAAAUAAACAAAGUCUAUUAUGUAACACUUUAUA